GACGAACGCUGGCGGCGUGCUUAACACAUGCAAGUCGAGCGGUAAGGCCCUUUCGGGGGUACACGAGCGGCGAACGGGUGAGUAACACGUGGGUGACCUGCCUCUAGCUCUGGGAUAAGCCCGGGAAACUGGGUCUAAUACUGGAUAUGACUCCAUGACGCAUGUUGUGGGGUGGAAAGCCUUGUGCGGCUAGAGAUGGGCCCGCGGCCUAUCAGCUUGUUGGUGGGGGAUGGCCUACCAAGGCGACGACGGGUAGCCGGCCUGAGAGGGCGACCGGCCACACUGGGACUGAGACACGGCCCAGACUCCUACGGGAGGCAGCAGUGGGGAAUCUUGCGCAAUGGGCGAAAGCCUGACGCAGCGACGCCGCGUGAGGGAU
rnacentral:rRNA from 1 species